rnacentral:rRNA from 1 species
ACGGAGGGUGCAAGCGUUAUCCGGAAUCACUGGGUUUAAAGGGUGCGUAGGCGGCACAAUAAGUCAGAAAGGGAAAAGGCUGUAGCUUAACUAUGGAAUUGCUUUUGAUACUGUUGAGCUUGAAUUGGGUUGAGGUUAGCGGAAUGAGUCAUGUAGCGGUGAAAUGCAUAGAUAUGACUUAGAACACCAAAUUGCGAAGGAGCUAACUGGGCCUUGAUUGACGCUGAGGCACGAAAGCGUGGGGAGCGAACAGGAUUAGAUACCCCGGUGUC